CUUUCGACCUGAGGUC
rnacentral:rRNA from 1 species